rnacentral:rRNA from 1 species
UGCCAGCAGCCGCGGUAAUACGGAGGGGACUAGCGUUGUUCGGAAUUACUGGGCGUAAAGCGCGCGUAGGCGGUUUGUUAAGUCGGAUGUGAAAUCCCCGGGCUCAACCUGGGAACUGCACCCGAUACUGACCGACUAGAGUACGAGAGAGGGAGGUAGAAUUCCACGUGUAGCGGUGAAAUGCGUAGAUAUGUGGAGGAAUACCAGUGGCGAAGGCGGCCUCCUGGCUCGAUACUGACGCUGAGGUGCGAAAGCGUGGGGAGCAAACAGGAUUAGAUA